UACGGGGGGGGCAAGCGUUGUUCGGAAUUACUGGGCGUAAAGGGCUCGUAGGUGGCCAACUAAGUCAGACGUGAAAUCCCUCGGCUUAACCGGGGAACUGCGUCUGAUACUGGAUGGCUUGAGUUUGGGAGAGGGAUGCGGAAUUCCAGGUGUAGCGGUGAAAUGCGUAGAUAUCUGGAGGAACACCGGUGGCGAAGGCGACAUCCUGGACCAACACUGACGCUGAGGAGCGAAAGCCAGGGGAGCAAACG
rnacentral:rRNA from 1 species